CGUAGUAACACGCAGGCAACCGUAAACAAUCGAGUCCAGAGAGCGGAAUGUGAAAUCCUGCAGAGAACGGCCGAUAUGCUGCUGUAGUGUGGAGAGUGCGUCACUUUGUCGGAGUAUCGUCGUUCGGUGGUUGUUUUCAACUUGAUCGCUCCAGCGCACCAGUUGCAUGUGACACUUUAAGCUCGACGGACGGGUCCAACCUCGCAGCGGUUCGUGCGUGUGUGUGUGUGUGUGUGUUCUCUAGUGUUCUGUACAUCGUACCACGCGUAUCUUAUCUUAGUGUUUAGUGUAACGGGAGUGUCACGCUAGAAGUGUGUCGCAACCGUUUCUCUGGCCACGCUCGAAAUGAUAAAUUGAUUCGGUGUUUGCUUUAGUGACACCUCCCGUGCCAGUGCUAACCGGUGACGCCUAAUGAGAAAUUAAACAUCCAAGAAGUAUCGUGCGCUAAUUCGUGCUUUAUUGUGUGCAGUGAUGUGUUGUGAAAACGGGAACCUUGUGUAAAAUUGAAGUGUUUUUCACCUUAAUUCAACGUGAGCGUUACCGUUACCACCGUAUACAUCAAUCGACGAAACGGUUGGAUAUAACAUCAAGCAUAUAUAGAUAGUUUAACCAAUCUACCACCUUACCGGCAGUAAGGCUAGUUCAUGCCAAAUCGUGCCCUGUCGUGUGCCGUGUUGGAUAAGUUGUGCAUGAAAUGAGCAAGCUACAAUAGCAGCGGUUGUUUGUAUGAUAGGAUACGGAAAACAUUGCUACCCUUGCUGUUCACGACCUCUCAGUCGCACCACCAUAAAAUGACAUUUUAAUGGAGGUUUUCAGCAAAAGCUUCAAUCUUUUACUGAUGGUUUUCACAGCACUUUACGUAGAAAAGGUGUGUGCCACAGAGGAGCUUUACGGACUGAUGGUGACACCGUUUCGCAGCGAUCAGCACGUCAAGCUGCACGUCUGGUGGAACUCAACGCUGCCAGAAUCGACCGAUUACGUCGUGACCAUAACGCAUAUUGAUUCCGAAAAAUGUAUGCUCAAGGACAGCCCCUUUGAAAAUCAUAAACACAUCAAAUGUGCUCCGAUCGUUGUUAGUGCGGAAACUACGGAAGUUACAAUACCAUCGGAUCUGAAUGGCGUAUUUAAACACACGUGUCCAAUCCAACAGCACUGUACAUAUUCGAUACAGGUAGAAACAUUAAACUUACCCACCAGAGUGACGGAUGUGAUCGAGGUGCCAGACUGUGUGGAGGGGUUAUGCUCCUGCCACUACGCUGAGCAUUUACCCGCACUGCUCAACACAUCAGCCAUUAUUAAAACUACCACUAAUCAGCUCAUCGUUAGCUGGACCCUCGGUACUUUCAAUAAAACUGAGUUGCCGGAAAAUGUUAAUCUAAAAGCCAUAUAUCUUGGCGUCCGACGUGGAACAAACAACGAUCUUGCCUGGGGUGGUCAGCACUCGAGUAUGAGAGAAAUAAUGCUUCCAGUGGAAUCGAAUACAUACAGCUUCAACAUUAACGAUUUCAUCGGCAGCAAGUAUAUUUUCGUUGUUCAGCUAAAAGUAAUAGAUACCAGAGACUGCGAACGCACUGCACAGCCAAUACUUGUGUCCCUUCCGGAUGCCGAAAAGCGGCUGCCCAACGCAACUGGCGGAUCUAAAGGAACCUGUACCAACGACACCAUAUGUAACUGUGAGCGUUUGAAUAGGUUUCCUGAUUUUCUGCUUGGUUGUCGACACGAAGGAUCUGAAAUAAUCGUAACAUGGCGUACUUUAAAAACCGUCACCUGGCGACAACCAUCGGCAACUGAUAUCGUUCAACUUCAACUGGCGAUACGUUCAGAGCUUACCGGAGCAAUACUCUGCUCCGUUUCCGUAGAUCCCAUGGCCACCAAUACCCACACAUUCUUCGUUGAUGAGAUCGUACCAACUAGCAGCACCAGUUUUGUGCUAACUGCUUCUUUCAUUGACGGCAAUAAUUACUGCGAACGGAUAAUACCUACCUAUAAAAUUCCUCCGAACCUUACCUCUACAUCUAUAUUGGUACCGGUAAUAUGUGUGCUAGUCGCAGUUAUUACUGUUACAGUAUUGGCAAGCACUUUAUUCAUCUACUACAAACGUCGUACAAAAUUUCGUUGGAAAGCAAAUAAUUGGAGAGGAGUUUAUGUACGUUCCAGUGGUGAUCAUCAUCAACAAGUGGCAAUGGAAGAAAACAGACUGUACAUAGAUAUGGACAUUUUGAAUGCCCGAGCACGUGGUGAUGCUGACUAUUUGGAAGUUCCCCAUUCCUGCCUCCGGAUUGGGCGCGAGAUAGGAAAAGGAGCGUUUGGACGCGUUUUCAUGGCUAGCGCUGUUAAAUUACCUGGUUUUAGUGGGCCAAAAAUAGUUGCAAUUAAACAGCUGAAAAAAUGCUCAUCCAGCGAUGAGUUUGACGAAUUUCUUGAUGAAAUCACCAUGAUGAAAAAGGUCGGAAAACAUCCGAAUAUCGUUGCGCUGCUCGGUUGCUGUACCAUCAAAGAGCCGCUUACAAUGAUAAUGGAAUACGUUGGCUGCGGCGAUCUGCUGGAAUAUUUACGGAAAAUACGAGCGAAACACUUAGCAAAAGUUCAUCAGCUGGACAUAGGAGCACAGUUGGAGAAUGCCAACUCGGGACUAAACACUGCACCGGGGAACAAUAUAUUUGGCCCGAUGGUGAAAUACUUAGAUCUAUUGCACACAUCCAGCUCCAACUCAGACGCAUCCUACAUUACGCAAACCGAUACAACUACACGCCCUUCGGUGACGGAGACUACCUACACCGCGCUGAGCGGGACCAUGGGCGAUGAGGAUAACAAUUCCACCAUCGGUAGCUGCUCGCUCGAGUAUGUACUUGACCAUAAAGAGUUGCAUAACUUUGCGAAACAAAUUGCCUUCGGUAUGGAGCAUUUGGAGGGACUUCAUAUCACUCACCGUGAUCUCGCGGCACGAAACAUUCUGAUCGACGAGCGGAAAACGCUAAAGAUAUCGGAUUUCGGUUUAUCCCGCACCGGGAUUUAUGUCAACACCAGAAACAAAAAGGUUCCAUUACGCUGGCUGUCUAUCGAGGCGAUGCGUGAUAAUCUAUACUCCAACAAGAGUGACGUUUGGGCGUUUGGAAUCGUGCUCUGGGAAAUAGGCACUCUAGGCGGCUAUCCGUAUCCUUCGGUAAGCAAUCAUGAGCUGUUUGCCUACCUGCAGGAAGGGAAGCGAUUGGAACGACCGGAAAACUGCACAGUUGAUGUGUACGACUUGAUGUUGCAGUGCUGGCGUGAGGAUCCAAACGAGCGGCCAUCGUUUCAGCAGAUAUCAAAGCACCUUCAGCCUCACAAGAAGAUUUACAUUGAUUUCAACGAAAUUGAACCGACCUACGUAUUUCCACCGACCAGUGAUCAAAUACGAUUAGCCAUAGCGAACAAUAAGUGAGACCAUUGUGUCCACCGCAAACCACAACAAAGAAAGUAAAGAGGCGAAUAAGGUCAAUUGGUUCAAAGUCUCUAUAAAAAAAAAAAACAAGAAAGACAUGUACAUGUGUGUAUACAUGCAAUGUGUGUGUUUUACGUCCUACAAAUCCCAAUACACAAUGAUUCAUAUUCCAAUCACAAAGCAAACGUCUUCAUGUGCAUCUAAUUGCAUUCUACCCACCGUUGGAAAUGGAAAUGUAUUGGUGUAUAUGUAUGUGCUGUUGAUGAACGUUAAUUAAACCAUGUGGGUUUUGAAGGUAUAAUUGACCAAUUUUGCCAUCAUUCCCCCAGUGACACUUACUUUUGGUCAAACGCACAUGGAAUAAAAAAGGAAGAAAUAAAAAAAAACAAAAGCAACACACUUUAGCAAGGUAUGGAACAUUUAUCUGUUUGAUGUUUUUUCAGGACCAACCAAUGAUCGAAACUAAUUUAAAAAAACACACACACAAAAAACAUGACUGUGAUAAUGAUAACAUAAUUAUACAUAAUAUUCAGUACAAAAACCUACGGUAAUAAUACAACAAAAAAUCUGCUUCUUUUUUUUGCCAUAACAUUCGUUGUCGGUGUGUGUCUGCUUAAGCCACUCAUGGCCUUGGCUAUUGUUAGUAUGAUGGAAUCGGUCUAUAAGGGGCUCCAGCCCAUAACGAUCAUCCUGUUGGAUCGUGAGCAAUGCAAAACCUACUGUAACUUUUAUGAAACGUUUAAUGAAAUGGUGACACGUUGGUUAAAUUUGAUAGAAUAAAUUGUAAUUUAGUAUAAUUGAGUGUAUUACCCAUUGUAGUAAUUUACAGUAAUUUAGUAAUAAUUUAGAUUAAUUAAUUCAAUCCUUUACGUUUUUCUUUUCAUUAAGUACAUGACGGCCUACGACAGGGAUUGCUUACUUGUUAAAGUCUAAUAUGGGUAUAAAACAAUGCUUACCGUCUGCUUUUAUAUAAUUUUUACAAAACAUGUUGCUAAUGUAAUUCAAACAGAACCCAAUUUUGCUGUGCAUCCGGGAAAUAUGUUUCAUAUAGAACGAACAAUGGAGUACUUAAACAGUUUACAUACUUAUAAAACCAGGAAUUGUAACCAGCGUAACAUGAAAUGAGCUUUUCAAUUUGUGUAUUGUGCACCUUUGGUAUGAACGUUAUGCAAAACAAAAAAACACAUCAUCGAGGAGCUUAAGCAAAGUAUGGAACAAAACUGACAAAAAUAGCACUGUGUUGACAAUUUGUACACAAAACAAACGAACAAAGUAGCAAGAUAAGAUUUCAAUUUUAUGUGGUUUCCAGUCAAACUGAGACGAAAAGGAAUAGAAAUAAAUAUUUCAACAUUGUUGUGAGUUU